rnacentral:rRNA from 1 species
CCUACGGGAGGCAGCAGUGGGGAAUAUUGGACAAUGGGGGGUACCCUGAUCCAGCCAUGCCGCGUGUGUGAAGAAGGCCCUCGGGUUGUAAAGCACUUUCAGUGAGGAAGAACGCCUGGUGGUUAAUACCCAUCAGGAAAGACAUCACUCACAGAAGAAGCACCGGCUAACUCCGUGCCAGCAGCCGCGGUAAUACGGAGGGUGCGAGCGUUAAUCGGAAUUACUGGGCGUAAAGCGCGCGUAGGUGGCUUGAUAAGCCGGUUGUGAAAGCCCCGGGCUCAACCUGGGAACGGCAUCCGGAACUGUCAAGCUAGAGUGCAGGAGAGGAAGGUAGAAUUCCCGGUGUAGCGGUGAAAUGCGUAGAGAUCGGGAGGAAUACCAGUGGCGAAGGCGGCCUUCUGGACUGACACUGACACUGAGGUGCGAAAGCGUGGGUAGCAAACAGGAUUAGAUACCCUGGUAGUC